UCUUCUUCAUUGAACAACCAUUAAUCUCAAAAAAGUGAUAAUCUUAAAAAAUUUAAAGAAGUUGCUGAUAAAAAAGAUGAAUAUAUCGAUUUUGUUGAGAUAUUCAAAGAAAUUGGGGGAACGGGAUACAAGAGAAUGCUUGGACGAUUAAGAGGAAGAAAAAUGCAGAUGACAAGUGAACAAUAAACACAAAAACUGUUGUGGACGUUGUGGGCAAGAAGGUCACAAUAGACGAACUUGUUUAUUUCCUAAAGAUGAUUGAGAUAGACUUUUUAAUAGAUAUUUUAGAAUAUAUUGAUGUUUCACUUUAUAAUUUUCAAUUCAAUAAUUUUCCACUAUAACAAGUAUAGACACUUUCAUUUUUUA